GAAAUGUCAUAGUCAGUAGAUAUAAAGAUCUGUUAUAUGUAUCAUGUACCUUUCUACUGAUUAGCUGAUUGCUUGCAACCCAUCUCAUGAGUUGUCACCUCGUGAUUUACCAUCAACGAACAAAAUUUAAAUUUAAAUCUGGUAUUGAGGACAAAAAAGUUUUGCAUUUGUAUCUUGAACAUUAUCCACCUUGACAGUUACUUUGGUAGCUUUGGAGUUAGUGGUGCUAUACCUUCAAUGUUUGUUGCUCUACGAAAUCUGCAGACAGUGUGGGCUUCAGACAAUGAACUCACUGGUAGCAUACCUGAAUUCAUUGGGAAUUGGUCAAAGCUUAAAAGCUUGGAAACUCCUUUGGAGGUUCAAUACCAACAACAUUUUCCAACUUAACCUUGAUGGAGGACUUGUGAGCAUUAACUCUUUCAACAGCUUUUGUUCAUAUUAGCAUAUCAAUAAAGCUAGUCUUCUCUUUUAUAACAUACCCAUGCUCAUCUAGAAGGAUAAGUGAUUUAUCUAAUGGAAGUUCUUCAUUGGCGUUUCUUAAGGAUAUGAAGUCUUUGAAUCUCUUGUAAGGCGAUAUGGUUAUUGCUGGCAAAUCUAUUCUGUUUUAAUUUUUCAUUUUCAUGCUCCUUAAUUGCUCUUGUACAAAACUAAUAUAACCAUGUGGUUUCAUGUCUUGCAGAAUUCUGAGGAAUAACAAUAUUUCUGGAUCUAUCCCAUCCAAUAUUGGAGAUUAUCAAAGAUUCUUACAACUGUAAGUUAU